rnacentral:rRNA from 1 species
CCGCGAACGGGUGAGUAACACGUGGGUGACCUGCCCCCUACUCUGGGAUAAGCCUGGGAAACUGGGUCUAAUACCGGAUAUGACUUCAUGCUUCAUGGUGUGGGGUGGAAAGCUUUUGUGGUGGGGGAUGGGCCCGCGGCCUAUCAGCUUGUUGGUGGGGUGAUGGCCUACCAAGGCGACGACGGGUAGCCGGCCUGAGAGGGCGACCGGCCACACUGGGACUGAGACACGGCCCAG